rnacentral:tRNA from 1 species
GACUGGAUAGCCUAGUGGUCAAAGGCAGCACUUCUAAUUAGGUCCCAGGUUUGAAUCCUGGUCUAGUCA